rnacentral:rRNA from 1 species
GCAACGCGAAGAACCUUACCUAGACUUGACAUCCCGGGAAUUCUUAGGAAACUAAGAAGUGCCUUUCGGGCAAUGGAUACAGGUGGUGCAUGGUUGUCGUCAGCUCGUGCCGUGAGGUGUUGGGUUAAGUCCCGCAACGAGCGCAACCCUCAUUGUUAGUUACUACCAUUCAGUUGAGGACUCUAAUGAGACUGCCAACGAUAAGUUGGAGGAAGGUGGGGAUGACGUCAAAUCAUCAUGCCCUUUAUGACCUGGGCUACAAACGUACUACAAUGGCCAAUACAAAGAGAUGCGAAGCGGUGACGUGGAGCGAACCUCAGAAAGUUGGUCUCAGUUCAGAUUGAAGUCUGCAACUCGACUUCAUGAAGGCGGAAUCGCUAGUAAUCGCGGGUCAGCAGACCGCGGUGAAUACGUUCCCGGGUUUU